rnacentral:lncRNA from 1 species
AAUGAAAUGACAGUAGGAAAAUAAUAAAAGGCCACAGGUGAAUUUGAGAGAGAACCCAGGGACAGAUGGCAGGAAUGGAGGUGGGAGUGGAGGAGUGACACUAUACACUUGGUCUGGCCAGAUGUAUUGAACUUUGAUGUGACAAACCCAGGUCAGAUAUUCUCAGCGUUUAGCAAACUUCUGAAUAUCCUGGUCAGUCUUGAAGUACACUUCUUCCCUUUCCUUUUUCUGUUCCCAACAUCUCUGCUUUACUGCCCACGUACUGAAACACUGAAACACACCCAGUCAGAUGUCAGACUAGGCUGUCUCAGGCUCUAAAAUUACCCAACAUGCCAUUGAUUAAAACCCUCACUUCCC